rnacentral:rRNA from 1 species
CGUAGGUGAACCUGCGGAAGGAUCAUUGUCGAAACCUGCAA